rnacentral:rRNA from 1 species
UACGGGGGGGCAAGCGUUGUUCGGAAUUACUGGGCGUAAAGGGCUCGUAGGCGGCCAACUAAGUCAGACGUGAAAUCCCUCGGCUUAACCGGGGAACUGCGUCUGAUACUGGAUAGCUCGAGAUUGGGAGAGGGAUGCGGAAUUCCAGGUGUAGCGGUGAAAUGCGUAGAUAUCGGGAGGAACACCAGUGGCGAAGGCGACUUCCUGGCCUGUUCUUGACGCUGAGGCGCGAAAGCCAGGGGAGCAAACGGGG